CCCCGGGCUCAACCUGGGAACUGCAUCUGAUACUGGCAAGCUUGAGUCUCGUAGAGGGGGGUAGAAUUCCAGGUGUAGCGGUGAAAUGCGUAGAGAUCUGGAGGAAUACCGGUGGCGAAGGCGGCCCCCUGGACGAAGACUGACGCUCAGGUGCGAAAGCGUGGGGAGCAAACAGGAUUAGAUACCCUGGUAGUCCACGCCGUAAACGAUGUCGACUUGGAGGUUGUGCCCUUGAGGCGUGGCUUCCGGAGCUAACGCGUUAAGUCGACCGCCUGGGGAGUACGGCCGCAAGGUUAAAACUCAAAUGAAUUGACGGGGGCCCGCACAAGCGGUGGAGCAUGUGGUUUAAUUCGAUGCAACGCGAAGAACCUUACCUGGUCUUGACAUCCACGGAAGUUUUCAGA
rnacentral:rRNA from 1 species